rnacentral:rRNA from 1 species
AGAGUUUGAUCCUGGCUCAGAACGAACGCUGGCGGCAUGCCUAACACAUGCAAGUCGAACGAGACCUUCGGGUCUAGUGGCGCACGGGUGCGUAACGCGUGGGAAUCUGCCCUUGGGUUCGGAAUAACUCGCCGAAAGGCGUGCUAAUACCGGAUGAUGUCGUAAGACCAAAGAUUUAUCGCCCAGGGAUGAGCCCGCGUAAGAUUAGGUAGUUGGUGAGGUAAAGGCUCACCAAGCCGACGAUCUUUAGCUGGUCUGAGAGGAUGAUCAGCCACACUGGGACUGUGACACGGCCCAGACUCCUACGGGAGGCAGCAGUGGGGAAUAUUGGACAAUGGGCGAAAGCCUGAUCCAGCAAUGCCGCGUGAGUGAUGAAGGCCUUAGGGUUGUAAAGCUCUUUUACCCGGGAUGAUAAUGACAGUACCGGGAGAAUAAGCUCCGGCUAACUCCGAGCCAGCAGCCGCGGUAAUACGGAGGGAGCUAGCGUUGUUCGGAAUUACUGGGCGUAAAGCGCACGUAGGCGGCUUUGUAAGUCAGAGGUGAAAGCCUGGAGCUCAACUCCAGAACUGCCUUUGAGACUGCAUCGCUUGAAUCCAGGAGAGGUGAGUGGAAUUCCGAGUGUAGAGGUGAAAUUCGUAGAUAUUCGGAAGAACACCAGUGGCGAAGGCGGCUCACUGGACUGGUAUUGACGCUGAGGUGCGAAAGCGUGGGGAGCAAACGGGAUUAGAUACCCUGGUAGUCCACGCCGUAAACGAUGAUAACUAGCUGUCCGGGCACUUGGUGCUUGGGUGGCGCAGCUAACGCAUUAAGUUAUCCGCCUGGGGAGUACGGUCGCAAGAUUAAAACUCAAAGGAAUUGACGGGGGCCUGCACAAGCGGUGGAGCAUGUGGUUUAAUUCGAAGCAACGCGCAGAACCUUACCAGCGUUUGACAUGUCCGGACGACUUCCAGAGAUGGAUCUCUUCCCUUCGGG